AUCCAUCUGACGAGUCCCAAAUAGGACGAAACGCGUUUUUUGGAU
rnacentral:hammerhead_ribozyme from 1 species